rnacentral:rRNA from 1 species
CAGUCGCCACGGGAAUACGUAGGGUGCGAGCGUUAAUCGGAAUUACUGGGCGUAAAGCGUGCGCAGGCGGUUGUGUAAGACAGGUGUGGAAUCCCCGGGCUUAACCUGGGAACUGCGCUUGUGACUGCACAGCUAGAGUAUGGCAGAGGGGGGUGGAAUUCCACGUGUAGCAGUGAAAUGCGUAGAGAUGUGGAGGAACACCGAUGGCGAAGGCAGCCCCCUGGGCCAAUACCGACGCUCAUGCACGAAAGCGUGGGGAGCAAACAGGAUUAGAUACCCCCGUAGUCCCUGUCUCUUAUAC